ACGGGGGCGUGAUGUGCGAGAGGGAUAGUUUACUAGACUUCAAACUUUUCACGCCCUAGUGGCGGACGGGUGAGUAACGCGUGGGUAACCUGCCAUAUACAGGGGGAUAACACUUAGAAAUAGGUGCUAAUACCGCAUAAGCGCACAGGGGCGCAUGCCCCGGUGUGAAAAACUCCGGUGGUAUAUGAUGGACCCGCGUCUGAUUAGCCAGUUGGCAGGGUAACGGCCUACCAAAGCGACGAUCAGUAGCCGGCCUGAGAGGGCGGACGGCCACAUUGGGACUGAGACACGGCCCAAACUCCUACGGGAGGCAGCAGUGGGGGAUAUUGCACAAUGGGGGAAACCCUGAUGCAGCGACGCCGCGUGAGUGAAGAAGUAUUUCGGUAUGUAAAGCUCUAUCAGCAGGGAAGAAAAUGACAGUACCUGACCAAGAAGCCCCGGCUAACUACGUGCCAGCAGCCGCGGUAAUACGUAGGGGGCAAGCGUUAUCCGGAUUUACUGGGUGUAAAGGGAGCGUAGACGGUUAUGUAAGUCUGGAGUGAAAGCCCGGGGCCCAACCCCGGGACUGCUUUGGAAACUGUGUAACUG
rnacentral:rRNA from 1 species